GGCCUAAUGGUCUAGUCGUAUGAUUCUCGCUUUGGGUUUGAUUGCGAGAGGUCCUGGGUUCAAUUCCCAGUUAGGCCC